rnacentral:rRNA from 1 species
UACGAGGGGGGCGAGCGUUGUUCGGAAUUAUUGGGCGUAAAGGGUUCGUAGGCGGCCAACUAAGUCAGACGUGAAAUCCCUCGGCUUAACCGGGGAACUGCGUCUGAUACUGGAUGGCUUGAGGUUGGGAGAGGGAUGCGGAAUUCCAGGUGUAGCGGUGAAAUGCGUAGAUAUCUGGAGGAACACCGGUGGCGAAGGCGGCAUCCUGGACCAAUUCUGACGCUGAGGAGCGAAAGCCAGGGGAGCAAACGGG